rnacentral:lncRNA from 1 species
GAGCUCAUAGAUGGGAGACAGCUAAUACAUACUUAUAAGACAUUUAUUGCAUAGUCAAACCAUGGAUCUAGAGAAACAAGUCAAUAAGUCAAAUCAAGAUGUGCAUGUGUGGCGAAUGAAUGGUGUAUGGUGAUGAUGGUGAUAACAAUGGUGAAAGUCUAAUUCUACUUGUGCUCUUUUGAGGGAUACAUACCUUUCUUGCUUUUUUUAAACUUUUUGAGGAGAAUGAGAUGCUCUAUAUUUUCUUUUCCUUUUCUCUCAGGUGGGUAUCUUGUACCCCUAAUUCUACUGUCGGACACUUGU